rnacentral:tRNA from 1 species
AAAACAUUAGAUUGUGAAUCUAACAAUAGAAACUCAUUACC